rnacentral:RNase_P_RNA from 1 species
CCAGACGGCCGGAUGGCCGCUCCCGGUCCUCGAUGGACCGGGGGAGGAAAGUCCGGGCUCCACGGAAGCACGGUGCCGGGUAACGCCCGGCGGGGGCGACCCCAGGGAAAGUGCCACAGAAAGCAAACCGCCCGGCCGCGCCCAAGCGUUCUCGCCUGGGCGGCUCGCGGCCAGGGUAAGGGUGAAAGGGUGCGGUAAGAGCGCACCGCGGCCCCGGCGACGGGGACGGCACGGUAAACCCCACCGGGAGCAAGACCAUGUAGGGGCGGCACGCCGGCGGUUACGCCGGCAAGCGGGCUUCCGCGCCGCCGCCCGGGUCGGUCGCGCGAGGCGUCCGGUAACGGACGUCCCAGAGGAAUGGCCAUCGCCCGCCCGCAAAGGCGGGUACAGAACCCGGCUUACAGGCCGUCUGGCUCU